rnacentral:tRNA from 1 species
GAGGGCAGAGCUCAGUGGCAGAGCACGUGCUUAACAGGCGUGAGGUCCUGGGUUCAAUCCCCAGUACUCCCA